CCAAGGAGUUCGCCUCACCGGCGAGUCGUAGGGUUCUUUACGAGACCUGAGCGGCACAAUGAAAGUGACGGACGUUGGGACUCAUGGCGUCAGCGGCCGUUUGGACCAAGCAGAAGUCUUGUGGGGUGAUCCUGAACCGAGUGAAACUGCGGGAACCUUGCCCGGCGUGCGCGUCGGCUUGGGGAGUAGUGAAUCGAGGUGUUUAAACUCAGGCGCAACCCCCGGGCGGGCGCUACCCUCUCCUAGCCUUGGUGCCAUGCAGCGCCCUGGUUUUCUGGGGGGAAUGCGUCUCGUACCGUGAGCCGGUGGGACGAUACCCGAAAGAUGGUGAACUAUGCCUGGCCAGGACGAAGCCGGGGGAAACCCCGGUGGAGGUCCGUAGCGAUUCUGACGUGCAAAUCGAUCGUGAGAGCUGGGUAUAGGGGCGAAAGACCAAUCGAACUGUCUA
rnacentral:rRNA from 1 species